AAAUUGAAGAGUUUGAUCAUGGCUCAGAUUGAACGCUGGCGGCAGGCCUAACACAUGCAAGUCGAACGGUAACAGGAAGCAGCUUGCUGCUUCGCUGACGAGUGGCGGACGGGUGAGUAAUGUCUGGGAAACUGCCUGAUGGAGGGGGAUAACUACUGGAAACGGUGGCUAAUACCGCAUAACGUCGCAAGACCAAAGAGGGGGACCUUCGGGCCUCUUGCCAUCAGAUGUGCCCAGAUGGGAUUAGCUUGUUGGUGAGGUAACGGCUCACCAAGGCGACGAUCCCUAGCUGGUCUGAGAGGAUGACCAGCCACACUGGAACUGAGACACGGUCCAGACUCCUACGGGAGGCAGCAGUGGGGAAUAUUGCACAAUGGGCGCAAGCCUGAUGCAGCCAUGCCGCGUGUAUGAAGAAGGCCUUCGGGUUGUAAAGUACUUUCAGCGGGGAGGAAGGUGUUGUGGUUAAUAA
rnacentral:rRNA from 3 species